rnacentral:rRNA from 1 species
UACAGAGGUCCCAAGCGUUGUUCGGAUUCACUGGGCGUAAAGGGUGCGUAGGCGGUUGGGUAAGUCUGACGUGAAAUCUCCGAGCCUAACUCGGAAACUGCGUCGAAUACUAUUCAACUCGAGGAAUGGAGGGGAGACUGGAAUUCUCGGUGUAGCAGUGAAAUGCGUAGAUAUCGAGAGGAACACCAGUGGCGAAGGCGAGUCUCUGGACAUUUCCUGACGCUGAGGCACGAAAGCCAGGGGAGCAAACGGG